ACGCUGACAGAAUGCUUAACACAUGCAAGUCUUUGGCGAAGCUGUGCUUGCACAGCCUAGCCAAGGCGGACGGGUGAGUAACGCGUAAGGAACUUGCCCUGCAGUCAGGGAUAACAGACGGAAACGACUGAUAAGACCUGGUAAAGUCAGGCGGACUCAUGUCCAGCCUGAUGAAAAGAGAUGCUGCAGGAGAGCCUUGCGUCCUAUUAGCUUGUUGGUGGGGUAACGGCCCACCAAGGCGAUGAUAGGUAGCCGGCCUGAGAGGGUGGACGGCCACAAGGGGACUGAGAUACGGCCCUUACUCCUACGGGAGGCAGCAGUGGGGAAUAUUGGACAAUGGGGGCAACCCUGAUCCAGCAAUUCUGUGUGCACGAUGAAGGUUUUCGGAUUGUAAAGUGCUUUCAGCAGGGAAGAAAAAAAUGACGGUACCUGCAGAAGAAGCGACGGCUAAAUACGUGCCAGCAGCCGCGGUAAUACGUAUGUCGCAAGCGUUAUCCGGAAUUAUUGGGCAUAAAGGGCAUCUAGGCGGCCAGAUAAGUCUGGGGUGAAAACUUGCGGCUCAACCGCAAGCCUGCCCUGGAAACUAUGUGGCUAGAGUACUGGAGAGGUGGACGGAACUGCACGAGUAGAGGUGAAAUUCGUAGAUAUGUGCAGGAAUGCCGAUGAUGAAGAUAGUUCACUGGACGGUAACUGACGCUGAAGUGCGAAAGCUAGGGGAGCAAACAGGAUUAGAUACCCUGGUAGUCCUAGCUGUAAACGAUGAUUACUGGGUGUGGGCAUGAAGAGUGUCCGUGCCGAAGCUAAUGCGAUAAGUAAUCCGCCUGGGGAGUACGGCCGCAAGGCUGAAACUCAAAGGAAUUGACGGGGACCCGCACAAGCGGUGGAGCAUGUGGUUUAAUUCGACGCAACGCGAGGAA
rnacentral:rRNA from 1 species